UACGGAGGAUCCAAGCGUUAUCCGGAAUCAUUGGGUUUAAAGGGUCCGUAGGCGGGCCUGUAAGUCAGUGGUGAAAUCUUUCGGCUCAACCGGAAAAUUGCCAUUGAUACUGCAGGCCUUGAAUUAUUGGACGGUAACGUAACGUAAGAUAUGUAGUGUAGCGGUGAAAUGCUUAGAUAUUACAUGGAAUACCGAUUGCGAAGGCAGGUUACUACCAAUACAUUGACGCUGAUGGACGAAAGCGUGGGGAGCAAACAGG
rnacentral:rRNA from 1 species